rnacentral:rRNA from 1 species
CGGAAAAGGCUCAUUAAAGAGUAAGGGUGCUCAGCGCCCGACCUCCACCCUUUGUUGUUAAAACUACUUGUUGCUUGGCGGGACCGCUCGGUCUCGAGCCGCUGGGGAUUCGUCCCAGGCGAGCGCCCGCCAGAGUUAAACCAAACUCUUGUUAUUAAACCGGUCGUCUGAGUUAAAAUUUUGAAUAAAUCAAAACUUUCAACAACGGAUCUCUUGGUUCUCGCAUCGAUGAAGAACGCAGCGAAAUGCGAUAAGUAAUGUGAAUUGCAGAAUUCAGUGAAUCAUCGAAUCUUUGAACGCACAUUGCGCCCCUUGGUAUUCCGAGGGGCAUGCCUGUUCGAGCGUCAUUACACCACUCAAGCUAUGCUUGGUAUUGGGUGCCGUCCUUAGUUGGGCGCGCCUUAAAGACCUCGGCGAGGCCUCACCGGCUUUAGGCGUAGUAGAAUUUAUUCGAACGUCUGUCAAAGGAGAGGACUUCUGCCGACUGAAACCUUUUAUUUUUCUAGGUUGACCUCGGAUCAGGUAGGGAUACCCGCUGAACUUAAGCAUA